rnacentral:rRNA from 1 species
CAAUAGCGUAUAUUAAAGCUGUUGCGGUUAAAAAGCUCGUAGUUGGAUUUCUGUCAAGGACAACUGGUCCGCCCUCCGGGUGAGCACAUAGUUUGGUCUUGACAUCUUGCUGGAAGCUGUUGCUGCACUUGGCUGUGUGGCGCAGUGUUCAGCACUUUCACUUUGAGGAAAUUGGAGUGUUUCAAGCAGGCACAUGCCUUUGGACACAGUAGCAUGGAAUAAUUAGAUUGGGCUUUUGCUCCAAUUUGUCGGUUUCCGGAGCUGAGGUGAGUAUUAAUGGGGAUUGUUGGGGGCAUCCGAAUUUAGCCGUCAGAGGUGAAAUUCUUGGAUCUGCUAAAGACGGACAACUGCGAAAGCGUUUGCCCAGGAUGUUUUCAUUGA